AUUUAUAUAGUUUAACCAAAACAUUACAUUUUCAAUGUAAAAUUAGAAUUCAUCUUAUAAAUA
rnacentral:tRNA from 2 species